GAAGUGUGGACGCCAGUCUGCAUGGAGCCGACCUUGAAAUACCACCCUUUAAUGUUUGAUGUUCUAACGUUGACCCGUAAUCCGGGUUGCGGACAGUGUCUGGUGGGUAGUUUGACUGGGGCGGUCUCCUCCUAAAGAGUAACGGAGGAGCACGAAGGUUGGCUAAUCCUGGUCGGACAUCAGGAGGUUAGUGCAAUGGCAUAAGCCAGCUUGACUGCGAGCGUGACGGCGCGAGCAGGUGCGAAAGCAGGUCAUAGUGAUCCGGUGGUUCUGAAUGGAAGGGCCAUCGCUCAACGGAUAAAAGGUACUCCGGGGAUAACAGGCUGAUACCGCCCAAGAGUUCAUAUCGACGGCGGUGUUUGGCACCUCGAUGUCGGCUCAUCACAUCCUGGGGCUGAAGUAGGUCCCAAGGGUAUGGCUGUUCGCCAUUUAAAGUGGUACGCGAGCUGGGUUUAGAACGUCGUGAGACAGUUCGGUCCCUAUCUGCCGUGGGCGCUGGAGAACUGAGGGGGGCUGCUCCUAGUACGAGAGGACCGGAGUGGACGCAUCACUGGUGUUCGGGUUGUCAUGCCAAUGGCACUGCCCGGUAGCUAAAUGCGGAAGAGAUAAGUGCUGAAAGCAUCUAAGCACGAAACUUGCCCCGAGAUGAGU
rnacentral:rRNA from 1 species